rnacentral:rRNA from 1 species
AGCGCAUACGGUGGAUGCCUUGGCAGUCAGAGGCGAUGAAAGACGUGGUAGCCUGCGAAAAGCUUCGGGGAGUCGGCAAACAGACUUUGAUCCGGAGAUGUCUGAAUGGGGGAACCCAGCCAUCAUAAGAUGGUUAUCUUGUACUGAAUACAUAGGUGCAAGAGGCGAACCAGGGGAACUGAAACAUCUAAGUACCCUGAGGAAAAGAAAUCAACCGAGAUUCCCUUAGUAGUGGCGAGCGAACGGGGACUAGCCCUUAAGUGGCUUUGAGAUUAGCGGAACGCUCUGGAAAGUGCGGCCAUAGUGGGUGAUAGCCCUGUACGCGAAAAUCUCUUGGUCAUGAAAUCGAGUAGGACGGGGCACGAGAAACCUUGUCUGAAUAUGGGGGGACCAUCCUCCAAGGCUAAAUACUACUGACUGACCGAUAGUGAACUAGUACCGUGAGGGAAAGGCGAAAAGAACCCCGGAGAGGGGAGUGAAAUAGAUCCUGAAACCGUAUGCGUACAAGCAGUGGGAGCCCACUUUGUUGGGUGACUGCGUACCUUUUGUAUAAUGGGUCAGCGACUUAUUUUCAGUGGCGAGCUUAACCGAAUAGGGGAGGCGUAGCGAAAGCGAGUCUUAAUAGGGCGUCUAGUCGCUGGGAAUAGACCCGAAACCGGGCGAUCUAUCCAUGGGCAGGUUGAAGGUUGGGUAACACUAACUGGAGGACCGAACCGACUACCGUUGAAAAGUUAGCGGAUGACCUGUGGAUCGGAGUGAAAGGCUAAUCAAGCUCGGAGAUAGCUGGUUCUCCUCGAAAGCUAUUUAGGUAGCGCCUCAUGUAUCACUGUAGGGGGUAGAGCACUGUUUCGGCUAGGGGGUCAUCCCGACUUACCAAACCGAUGCAAACUCCGAAUACCUACAAGUGCCGAGCAUGGGAGACACACGGCGGGUGCUAACGUCCGUCGUGAAAAGGGAAACAACCCAGACCGUCAGCUAAGGUCCCAAAGUUAUGGUUAAGUGGGAAACGAUGUGGGAAGGCUUAGACAGCUAGGAGGUUGGCUUAGAAGCAGCCACCCUUUAAAGAAAGCGUAAUAGCUCACUAGUCGAGUCGGCCUGCGCGGAAGAUGUAACGGGGCUCAAACCAUGCACCGAAGCUACGGGUAUCACUUAGGUGAUGCGGUAGAGGAGCGUUCUGUAAGCCUGUGAAGGUGAGUUGAGAAGCUUGCUGGAGGUAUCAGAAGUGCGAAUGCUGACAUGAGUAACGACAAUGGGUGUGAAAAACACCCACGCCGAAAGACCAAGGUUUCCUGCGCAACGUUAAUCGACGCAGGGUUAGUCGGUCCCUAAGGCGAGGCUGAAAAGCGUAGUCGAUGGAAAACAGGUUAAUAUUCCUGUACUUCUGGUUAUUGCGAUGGAGGGACGGAGAAGGCUAGGCCAGCUUGGCGUUGGUUGUCCAAGUUUAAGGUGGUAGGCUGGACUCUUAGGUAAAUCCGGGAGUCUAAGGCCGAGAGCUGAUGACGAGUUGCCAUUAGGCGACGAAGUGGUUGAUGCCAUGCUUCCAAGAAAAGCUUCUAAGCUUCAGGUAACCAGGAACCGUACCCCAAACCGACACAGGUGGUUGGGUAGAGAAUACCAAGGCGCUUGAGAGAACUCGGGUGAAGGAACUAGGCAAAAUGGCACCGUAACUUCGGGAGAAGGUGCGCCGGUGAGGGUGAAGGACUUGCUCCGUAAGCCCACGCCGGUCGAAGAUACCAGGCCGCUGCGACUGUUUAUUAAAAACACAGCACUCUGCAAACACGAAAGUGGACGUAUAGGGUGUGACGCCUGCCCGGUGCCGGAAGGUUAAUUGAUGGGGUUAGCUAACGCGAAGCUCUUGAUCGAAGCCCCGGUAAACGGCGGCCGUAACUAUAACGGUCCUAAGGUAGCGAAAUUCCUUGUCGGGUAAGUUCCGACCUGCACGAAUGGCGUAACGAUGGCCACAC